AGAUGACUCUCACUGCUCUUCUCAGGAUUACCUGGAAGAAAGAGGCUGCUAAAUGCAAAGGAGAAGGAGAGAAAUGCCUCCUGGGCGUAUGUGGAAGGUCAUGGGCAUCUGGUAACAGGAAAUACUCUCUGGGAUCUACAGAAUAACAGAACUGGGAGAAAACCUAAUUGGCAGUGCAUCAGUUCUAACACAUGUAAGAGAAAGAAAAAGAGAAGAAAGCACAAACAGCUUGGCUCUUUGGGAAAAAAAAAAUGUCGCUGAAAGCAAUUUUUCCCCCUCUUUGUUUACUGGUGAAGGUGAAGCAGUAACUCAACAUGCAGUUGAUAUGGGAAUGGUGUGCAUCUGGUAUAAAUGGGAAGCAUUCUGAAUAAUCUGAAUCUUUUGAGGACCUUCACCUUGGAAAGGCAGAUGAUACAGGAGCAGUAGGAUGAUGUACAAAGUAGACACACGAGGUGAAACAGAAAGAAGUCUUCUGUGAAAUGAUCGGGAAAGCAGAGCUCACAUAUGUUUCACCUCAUUGGAAUUUACCUGGGAGUCUUUGGUGUGUUUUAGACAGGAGAUGAGUGGCCCUAGAUGUUUAAAAUGAAACUUACUGUGCAAGACAAAAAGGAAAAAGGCUACUGUAGCUAUGAGAUAAAUAUGCAGCUGGCUUGACGGUUGUGAUCCGAUGUGUUGAGAGGAGAAACCAUCAAAAUAUGAUAUAUGAGCAGAGCUUUGGGAGUCAUCAUCCAGCUGCAACAAAGAUGUAACAAUCGCAGGGAUAAGACAGAAAACUUGAAAGACGAGCUUCAAAUGUUCUGUAUUGACUGUUUUAAAGCAAUAGACAUGACUGAAAGCAAGUAUAUACUGAUGAUCUUGGGGGGCCGUUCCAACUGAAGCCAUUCUAUGAUUCUGUCAUAUGAUUCUAUGUUUAUUUAUAUACAUGCGGUGUGUAGGCAGCUCUGGAAGGUCUGGAAAAUGGCAACAUUUAAAUGCAAUAAUGAUAGAAAUAGGCAGGAAUUAGUGUCUUAAAAUUCCAUAUUGGUAUGGUAUGGCAAUGAGGGGAAAUCAGGUACAUGAAAGCAGGGGAAGAAAUCACUGUGUUAUUCCUGAAGGUACUUUGGAUCCUCCAUGAGGUUGUGCUUCUGGAAUUAAGCUUUCACUUUGGCAGAUACUGCUUUCCAGUUACAAGCCUAUUAAGGCCUUCUCAACAAGAACAUCAAUGAAGAUGUUCUCCAUGUGCAAAACUAUGUUAAUUAUUGUUCUUAUAGUAGUCUCUCUGCCCUUUUCAGAUGCAGAAGAAUCAUUUUUAAACAAAAGCAAUAAAGUGGU
rnacentral:lncRNA from 7 species